AGAUAUAACUGUAGGUGCUGCUUGUAUGAAAAAGCUGAGCCAUACCAUCGAGUGAACUGUCUAGAGCAGCAGUUGUCUUGCUUGGAAAACACUUCUGGGACUGUAUUGUGAGUUGCUAUUGACCGAGUUGCCAGAACAUUGCCCUACAAAGCUUUGGAGGGCCACUUCUUAAUGGAUUGCUGCAGCCUUUUAAUUUCUCCAUUGAUCCUGUUCCCUGCAUCGUGAGAACAUUUUAGCCAGCACAGAACCUAGAAAAGUUACAUGGUGUGAACGGCAUGUCUGUGGAUGAGAAGACUGACUCCCCCAUGUAUGUGUAUGAGUCAACGGUGCACUGUACCAAUAUUCUCCUCUGCUUAAAUGACCAGCGGAAGCAGGACAUUCUCUGUGACGUGACGCUGAUCGUGGAGGGGAAGGAGUUCCGCGCCCACCGGGCUGUGCUGGCUGCCUGCAGCGAGUACUUCUUGCAGGCCUUGGUAGGGCAGACGGAAAAUGACCUGGUGGUCAGCCUGCCGGAAGAGGU